rnacentral:rRNA from 1 species
AGUGAACGCUGGCGGUAGGCCUAACACAUGCAAGUCGAACGGCAGCACAGUAAGAGCUUGCUCUUACGGGUGGCGAGUGGCGGACGGGUGAGAAAUACAUCGGAAUCUACUUUUUCGUGGGGGAUAACGUAGGGAAACCUACGCUAAUACCGCAUACGACCUACGGGUGAAAGCAGGGGAUCUUCGGACCUUGCGCGAUUGAAUGAGCCGAUGUCGGAUUAGCUAGUUGGCGGGGUAAAGGCCCACCAAGGCGACGAUCCGUAGCUGGUCUGAGAGGAUGAUCAGCCACACUGGAACUGAGACACGGUCCAGACUCCUACGGGAGGCAGCAGUGGGGAAUAUUGGACAAUGGGCGCAAGCCUGAUCCAGCCAUACCGCGUGGGUGAAGAAGGCCUUCGGGUUGUAAAGACCUUUUGUUGGGAAAGAAAAGCAGCAGGUUAAUACCCCGCUGUUCUGACGGUACCCAAAGAAUAAGCACCGGCUAACUUCGUG